rnacentral:rRNA from 1 species
AUGAAGGAUGCCACUGUGAGCCAUGCCACCCCAUCUACAAGCGUUGAAGUGGAUGCCCCCGAGACCAACCUAAGCAAGGAAGAUUCCCGCUCAUCUGACACUGAUUCUAAGCACGUGUGUGGUGCCACUCAUGUGUCCACGACAGAAGUGCCUAAGGCGGCAAUUCAUAAUGAUAUGCCAUCUACAGGUGAGAGUCUUGGCACAACAACUUCAGCUCCUGGCGGUGCAAAUAUUGCUAAGGCCACUAUUCCGCGUGCUGGUCUUCCACCUAGGCGUCGUAGCCCCCCGGAAGCAAUCAACAGAACGUAUCCAACGCACCAGCUGCAGCUAGGAGCAGCAAAGAUGAGUCUGGUUACGUCCCUGCAUCCACACUAUUCCCGCCAACUGCUAAAAGCAAUGUUAUGGAGAAACCAGAAGACCGGAGUACAACUGGUGCAGGUGCCAAGCCGGGCACGAGUGAUGAAGGUGAACGUCUGGAGCAGACUGCGCCUUUGCCCGCAGUGGAAAUCCCCAGCUUAA